CGGUUGAUCCUGCCGGACCUGACUGCUAUCGGAUUGAUACUAAGCCAUGCGAGUCAUUGUAGCAAUACAAGGCAGACGGCUCAGUAACGCGUAGUCAAUCUACCCUAUGGACGGGAAUAACCUCGGGAAACUGAGAAUAAUGCCCGAUAGAACAUUAUGCCUGGAAUGGUUUAUGUUUCAAAUGAUUUAUCGCCAUAGGAUGGGACUGCGGCCUAUCAGUUUGUUGGUGAGGUAAUGGCCCACCAAGACUAUUACAGGUACGGGCUCUGAGAGGAGUAGCCCGGAGAUGGGUACUGAGACACGGACCCAGGCCCUAUGGGGCGCAGCAGGCGAGAAAACUUUGCAAUGUGCGAAAGCACGACAAGGUUAAUCCGAGUGGUUUCUGCUAAAGAAACCUUUUGUCAGUCCUAGAAACACUAACGAAUAAGGGGUGGGCAAGUUCUGGUGUCAGCCGCCGCGGUAAAACCAGCACCUCAAGUGGUCAGGAUGAUUAUUGGGCCUAAAGCAUCCGUAGCUCGUUUUGUAAGUUUUCGGUUAAAUCCAUGCGCUUAACGUAUGGGCUGCCGGGAAUACUGCAUAACUAGGAAGUGGGAGAGGUAGACGGUACUCGGUAGGAAGGCGUAAAAUCCUUUGAUCUAUUGAUGACCACCUGUGGCGAAGGCAGUCUACCUGAUCACGUUCGACGGUGACGGAUGAAAGCUGGGGGAUGACCGUCGCAUUACUUUCAGUUCUCUACCCAUAUACCACACUAUUUAGUCUAAAGUGAAGCACUGGCU
rnacentral:rRNA from 1 species